CGGUGCGCAGGCGACGGAUACUUCUUUCUCUCAAAAAGGGGACCCGGGUUCGAAUCCCGGCGGUCCGGC
rnacentral:tRNA from 1 species